rnacentral:lncRNA from 1 species
GUUAAUUCUCUGCCUGGAAAAGCAACAGAAAAUCAGGAGUGUUUCUCAUACUGUAGUCUUUGCAGUCCCUAUGAAAUCAUGAGGUAUUUAUGCAAAUUGCUUGAGUCUCCAUGGCCCAGAAGCAGGCUAAAGUGCAGAAGAGGUGGAUCUCAAACACAGCUUGUCAAAAUACACCAUGAUGGAGAGCAGUUGCCCUACAAACUGGAUGCUGACAUGCCCAAGAAUGGGGAGGACUUUCUGUGUAGCUGAGGGUUUUGUUCUCCUGCAGGAGGUUGGCUGAAGCACUGGAGGGAAGAUGAAGCUGAGUCCUGACCUCGCCAUGUGGUCUGCAGCUGAUUCAUCUGGACCUUGGCCUGGUCACUUUACUGUCUAUUGCUCCAUUUCUAUACCUGUAAAAUAGAAGUGUAGGAGAGGAUCGUCUGUGACGUCUCCUAGCUCUGAAGUUUUAUGACUGUAAUGUCAAAUGCCCAUAGAUGUCUAUCAUAGCUGAACUGGAUUAGAGUUAAUAUUUACCCUAGAAAUUAAGUUUAUCACCUCAUUUUUUAGAAUGAAAUUUAAAAGAUAUAAAUUAUACAUUUAC